UACAGAGGUCCCAAGCGUUGUUCGGAUUUACUGGGCGUAAAGGGUGCGUAGGCGGUUGUUUAAGUCUGACGUGAAAUCUCCGGGCCUAACCCGGAAACUGCAUUGGAUACUAUUCGGCUUGAGAGUUGGAGGGGGGACUGGAAUUCUUGGUGUAGCAGUGAAAUGCGUAGAUAUCAAGAGGAACACCAGUGGCGAAGGCGAGUCCCUGGACAACUUCUAACGCUGAGGCACGAAAGCUAGGGGAGCAAACAGG
rnacentral:rRNA from 1 species